GACGAACGCUGGCGGCGUGCUUAACACAUGCAAGUCGAACGGAAAGGCCCUGCUUUUGUGGGGUGCUCGAGUGGCGAACGGGUGAGUAACACGUGAGUAACCUGCCCUUGACUUUGGGAUAACUUCAGGAAACUGGGGCUAAUACCGGAUAGGAGCUCCUGCUGCAUGGUGGGGGUUGGAAAGUUUCGGCGGUUGGGGAUGGACUGGCGGCUUAUCAGCUUGUUGGUGGGGUAGUGGUUUACCAAGGCUUUGAAGGGUAGCCGGCCUGAGAGGUGGGCCGGCCACCUGGGGACUGAGAGACGGCCCAGACUCCUACGGGCGGCAGCAGUGGGAAACAUUGCAGAAUGGGCGGAAGCCUGAUGCGGCAACGCCGCGUGCGUGAUGCCGUCCUUCGGGUUAUGAACCGCUUUCGCCUGUGACGAAGCGUGAGUGACGGUAAUUAGUAAAGAAGCACCGGCUAACUACGUG
rnacentral:rRNA from 1 species